AGAAGAGCAGAGAAAGAGAGGCGAGCUUGGGUGAGACGGAGGUGGCGGAGCCACUUGGCUCUUGCCUUAAAGCCUCUUGCUCUUUCUUGGUUGAGUGUGGUUGUAGAGAGACAAGAUAUGUCUGUGGUGAAGCAACCAAAACGUGGCUCUUGUUGAAGAUGCAAAGGAGAGGAAGAUGUGAUAAAGCUCUUCUAUGGUUCAUAGCAUCGUGGGUUUCUCGGGUAUUGAAGAAACAAGUGAAGACAGGAAUGUCUUGGACAGGUUCUGUGUCACUGGUGUAAGGAGCACGAAUCUGAGGAAGCAAAGGAGUUAUAAGACUCUCUUUGAAGCACUAUGAAGCAUCUCACUCACAGCAACUCAAAGAACAAGAAGACCAAAGUCUGAAGCAGUUUCUGAGGUAGUCUCUACACUGGUUUCUGAUGCUGAGACAGGUCUCUGCAGAGGCAGAUUUGGUGAGGUCUUUAGUGGCUAAGGGAAGAUCAUUUUAUACCUUAGCGACACUCCUACUAUGUUCUUGAGUUGCUUGGAUAGUGUGUAACACUUGUAUAGCUCAGGUUAUGAUGUGUAACUGAGUUAGAUAGUGAGAUGUGAACAAUCAUGUACAUUGAUGAGAUUUUCAUAGUGAAUGCAGUUGAGGGACACAGUCUCAGUCUCCCUCCCCGGUGAGUAUAGCUCUCUUUCCACAUUGGGAAGAAGAGGUGAACAAAAUCGCUUGUGUCGUUUUGUUAUUUGCUCUGUUCG
rnacentral:lncRNA from 1 species